UACGGGGGGGCAAGCGUUGUUCGGAAUUACUGGGCGUAAAGGGCUCGUAGGCGGCCAACUAAGUCGGAUGUGAAAUCCCCAGGCUUAACCUGGGAACUGCAUCCGAUACUGGAUGGCUUGAAUCCGGGAGAGGGAUGCAGAAUUCCAGGUGUAGCGGUGAAAUGCGUAGAUAUCUGGAGGAAUACCGGUGGCGAAGGCGGCAUCCUGGACCGGCAUUGACGCUGAUGAGCGAAAGCUAGGGGAGCAAACGGG
rnacentral:rRNA from 1 species